GAUUUCUGGUGGAGAGGCACCAACACAUGCCUGUUCCUGUCCACCCUCCUUCCAGCAGCAUGACCUACCUUCUAGAAUAUACCACAGAGAAAGGCAGCUACUCGAAACUCAGGGAGCCUAAUCUGUGCCUUUCAGAAUGGAGCCUGCUCACUCGAGAUGGGGGACAGACAGGAGACUGGCCACUGGGAGGUCAGCGGAGGCUUGGGGAGUCAUGGUGCCUCAUGAGUGGCUUCUGAAGGUCAAAGAAUGGACAGCCUCUGACUGUAGCUCUUCUAGCUGCUCCACAACUCGGAGAUACUCCAGGACAUUUUGUCAUCAUCUCAGGACCAGUCUUACUCCUGCAUCCAUGGGGGGCGCUGCCUCUCUGAUAAAAAAGAAGGGAGGGGGGAAAUCAUGUUUCCUUUUCCUUCUGAAAGAGCAUGUCUCCUCAUCAAGGUCUUCUGAAGAGCACCAGCCAACCCGCUGUGGACGAUCAGGCAAACAGGGCGUCAGGCCAGUGGCUUCAGGCGUGAGCUCAGUGAUCCAUCUUUACUCUCUUCCAGGAGACAGGGUGCAUACUGUGCUCCUGUUGGCAUGGUGACUGAUUCAAAAGGAGCAGACUGGCCAUUGACUAUCACCAUUUGCCAUCACAGCUGCUGGUGCUGCUGCUGCUGCCUCAGAUGCCAGGCCACAUGUGGACAGGCAAGAGUCAGCAGGAGCUUGGAGCGCAGAGUAUGGACUUCUACAUCGGUUUCUCAAGACAGCGCCAACCACAAAGGACACCGACAGACUCUCUAGCAUCAGCAUCUGCCACAGACAUAAGCAUCAUUUCCCCUGGUAGUACCAACCAUGGUGCAGCAGGGCCAUGUCAUGUUCUACUUUAAUGAUGGAGAUCCAUGUCUGUGAGAAAUCUCAGUGACUUUCUCUCUACUUUAGCAUUUUAAAGUGAAAGUGGAACAUUGAGAGAUGCCUCUAAUUCCCAGGAUGCUUACUGUUCGGGAAGUAACCUAGCUUUUCUCCAGUCUCUGUUCUCAGACUACUCUCCAGAGUCACCUGUGCAGAGCCAUGUGGGAGUAUCAUGAAUCAUGUUGAACAUCCUAGAAGAACUUUCCAGAAAUUCUGAAGGAAACAAGAUGCGGCUUACUGGCACUUUCCAACAAGACUCUAAAGAGCACUCUCUCUGACAUGACACAAUGGGGUCUCGAAUGAAGAAAGUUAUUUCCAUCAGCCCAGUGGGUGAGUGUGCUCUCAUCGACGCUGCCAUUUGGAUACACUUUUAAAAAGGAGGAAAAUAUUCAGGUUUUUAAAACUCUUCACUUCUGAUGAAUGUUCCUCUCUGUGCAUGUGCACGAGCUCAAACACACACACACACACACACACACACACACACACACACACACACACACACAUUAUCAUAAUCUCUGCUUUUGGGAGGAGAUAACAGAGUCCCAGGACAGUGACCGUCAGCUACACAGCAAGUCUUUGAUGGAUGUCCCUAUCCCAAGCUUCUUGCAAAUGAGGGAAACCUGCCAGAGAGGUUGAUAAGGGGUAACAGUUUCCCAGCUCCCAUCAUCCUCUGUCUCCUGAGGGUCUCAGGUUAGCUUUCUAGCUGCCAAAACAAAAUCUCUUGAAUUUCAAAGACACCAACAGGUGGUGACAAUGUUAAUGGAUGCUAAUGGACAUGACCCGACUGAUUACAUCUGGCUCACUGGCUCCUGUGGAUAUCUUAGGAAAUAUUUUGGGGAGCCUGUCCCUUUUACUCCCACUCUAUACUAAAGCCAGUUCGUUCUACCACAUGCCUUCCAGGCUGGGGCUUGAAAGGUGGCAUUUCUUACAGCUGGACUCAGCGAGGUCCCCAGCCCUAGGGAGAACAGGUGGACUUCCAGGAAUCCGCCUUGCGUUGCUCUGGAUCCUUGCUGGAAUCUGUGAACUCGAGCCAUUCCCUCCAGAUCAUCCAAUCCUCCCAGCCGGGCCCCUUAUCUGGAGCUAGAGAACCAAGCGCUGCCGGGCAGGGAGACUUGUUUCCCACACGGCGCCUAUCAUCACAUUUUUAUCAUUUGAAACUUGAGUUACUCGGUAAGAUUUAAUGUUUUCAUCUAUCCAUCGGACUUUCUUUCAAGGCUCUGAGGAUCGCAUGUACGGAGCCAGGACCAUUUCCAGCCCUGCGCCAGCCAGGAGACCAUUUUUCUUCGUUUGUGUUUCUAAACCAUUCUUUUUAGUGUGCCCUCCCCCUUCAGUCUACUUAAAUGGAAUUGGGCUCUGGAAGUUUCCUGUCACUACAUAAAGCACUUUGGGGUGCUAAAGGGCCCCCUCUCUUCCUUUUUUUUUCUUAUCUGGGGUUUAGUUCACUAACUUAUUUGGUCUGUAUUUAAAAAUAUUUACUGGGCCAAGAAUCAAGGUCAACAAUUAAGAAGUGGGACCUCCUAAAACUAAAAUGAUUCUGCCUGGUGAAAGAAAAAAUUGAGGGAAAAGGAAACCUACAGAAAAGGAAAACAAUCUUUACCAGCUACACAUCUGACAGAGGAUAAUAUCCAGAAUAUAUGAAGAACGAGAGAGAGAGAGAGAUAGAGAUAGAGAGAGAGAGAGAGAGAGAGAGAGAGAGAGAGAGAGAGAGAGAGAGAAAAGACAAAACAACCCCCAAAAAAACAAAUGUCCUCCUUCAAAAAAUGGGCUCUGGGUCUGAACAAAGAGUUAUCAAGAAAAGAAAUAAAAGUAGCUAAGAAAUAUCUCAAAACUAUUUAUUGUCCCUAGCCAUUAGAAAAAUGCAAAUUAAAACUCCUUUGCAGUUUCAUCUUAGACCAGUCAGACCAGCAAAGAUAAACAACCAACUACAAGUGCUGGAGGGGAUGUGGGGAAAGGGAGUUGUUGGGGGCCUUUUUGAACUGGUCCAGCCACGCUGGAAGUCAGUGUGGAGAGCCCUCCCGUGUGACCCUGUGUCAGCUCCUCAGUGUAUGCCCAGAUAAUGCCACCUCCUACUCUACAGAUGCUUGCUUGGCCAUAGUCAUUGCUGUUCUAGUCACCACAGCUAGACAUGAAUAAAACAAACAGCCUUCAUGUCUUACAUCUGACAAGUGGGUAAUUAAAAUGGGGUACACAUACACUCUGAGAUGCUGUGAAGAAAAAGGAAAUGAUGAGAUCUGCAGACAAAUGGAUGGAACUAGAAAAGAUCACGCUGAGGGAGGAAACCCAGAUCCAGAGAGACAAAUGCCACAUAUUCUCUCAUCUGUGGACCCCAGCGCCCCAUCUUCAGGGCUGAAUACAAAGCCUGGAAUAAACACAGAAUCCAGACAAGUAAAAAGGAACCACCAUGAGAGGGAGCAAUGGAGAGGGAAAGAGCAGGGUUUAUGGAACCCCCACUGGAGAAGUAGGAGAAACAGGGAUGUACUUACUGGGGAGGGAGAGGUCAAUACAGAGAGAGGGCAAGAGGAGGGCAAGGUAAAACAACAGUAAUGAUGUCUGAAUAAGCCAUAAAGAACCAAAAUAUCUGUUUACCUAAAAUUACAUAUAACACAUAUAAGUCUAUGUAUAUACGUAUAGAAUUUAAAUGACAAUUUCCCAUCAAGGUUGACAAUGAUUCUCCCAAGAGCCAUGGACUAAAACAACCUCCUCCCUCCAACACCCCCUCCCCCCUUCAAUACCAUGCAUGAGAAUCCCCUCAUGAGUUGUUGGGCAGGGAAGCCCAAGAGACUCCAAUAACACUAUAGGCUAUUGAUAAUGCCUUCGAUUGCCUCACAGACAUUGAGACUGAAUCCGUACUUGCUGAAGACACUACACACUUGGGACAUAAUGGUCCAAGCUGGAUCUCACCAUAAAAGGGUCCCCCCGGAGGACUACCUUGUUUGGUACCAGAAAGCACCGUGUAAGCUUCCAGGGGAGGGAUGCAGCCAGUAGUCCUCCUCCGCAGCUGGGAUGCUUACAAAGGACAACCACCAGCAUGGCCCAACAACCCUCAGGGUACAGUAGUGCAUGCAUACCCUGGUGGUUACCUUGGUUAGUUGGACUUAAGGCUCAACAGAGGGGAAAUUUUCCCUGACACUGGAACCCUAGCCAACUACUUAGGGUUAGUGAGGUCAAGAAUCUUAGAGGAUAACCUACAACCGAAACUUUACCAAAUCAACCUAAUUCCUAACUACUUUUGACUACUUGUCCUUAAUAGACAAGUGUAUACAGCUCUAACCCCUUAGCAAAGAAACUGCUCUUUGCAACAGACAGAGAGCAUUACAGAAAGUUACAACCAAUCAAAAUGCAGAGAACAAGUGACCAUGAAUGGUGCCCAGUUCCAGUUGUUCCAUCUACAGCACAGCUCUGUAGCGAAGGCUCUGGGAACAAGGGAAAGGAGGCAGAAGGAUUGUAAGGGUAAGGAUCGGAUGAACAAGAUGUCUGCUGUGAGAUUGUGUCUCUCAGAAAUGUCAGGGAAGCUGUACCCAUGAAGUCUCGUCAACGUGGCUGCCUAAACAACACAUGAACAACGCUGAUAAAAAUAGGCAUGCUAACGUGGAAGGGAGAAAUCUCAUAUGGCCUCACCCUGAGACAAAGUACAGGCAACUAAAGAAUGCUGAGGGUGGGAGAGAUAGCCUUCACCCGGGCAAAGCCCCCCAACUGCUUCUCCGACACCAAGUGUUCAUUUCUGCAACAAUAUACAUACAAUUAACAUAUAUAGACUGAGGAGACUGUGUUUUAUAUAUCUAAGAAUAUAUAUGUGUGCAACAACUAAAGAAAAAGAGGCCAUGAACUUGAGCGAGAACAGGGAAGGGGACAUGAAGUAAGUGGCAAGGAGGAAACUGGAAGGGGGAAUUAUCUAAUUAUAUACUAUUUACUGAGUAUUGUGGGCAAUGUAAAAUGAGAAUGUAGGUUCUGAUGGCUCUCAAGUCAUGCAUUUGAUAAACCUAAUGUGAAAAUAGACUACAGAGAGGCACACGUGUAUCAUCACUGGAAGUGACAUCCAUCGCUCUCCCACCACACAGUUGCCUGUCUGUACCAGGCACUGGCAUGUUUUUGCAAACUCUGUUAUAUUCUGUUUGUUUGGACGUUUGUUAAUCUUAACAAAUCUAACAACCAUAAGCUCCACUUAGGUGCAAUGAGAAUAAAUAGAGGUCAGUUAGAACUGUUCUGUCUAGCUAGCCAAAUUAGCUUGAGUCAGAGCCGACCACUGGGCAGCACUUCCUGCACCUGCCCAUGAGUUUGUUAUGUUUUCUUCCUUUGUAAGCUGGCCUUGAGGACUGUUUGGAGCCAUAGCCUCAGCCCCUGAAUUCUUUUUUCCCCCUGUUUAGUUGUAGGAGUUUAUUUUAAAUAACCUACAGAUGAUUAAAGGGAAAUUCAUGAUAAAAACAGCAGACACUUGAGGAAAGAUGUGGGAGUGGACUCUGCACACACACUAAACUAACAAUGCCUCUAAAACUAACGAUUAUUGCAAGAUAAAAAGUCUUCACAUUAAAAAUUUUCCGUUUUUUUGUCUUUGCCUCAUUUUUUUUUACACAAUUACAAAAGAAAAAGUAAAAGCCCUAAAAUCUUGAUUAUUUUCCCUUUUUGUUUUGUCUUUGUUUUUCUUGGCCCAAACGCUCAUUUUCCUCUAAAUUUAUUGACCUGUGGAAGGUUUUAUACAAUAAAAUCUUUCAAAUGAAAGACCCGGGUUUCCAAAGAAAAAGAUGGAUCCCUUAAAAGGUACAAAGAAUGGUCAGCGCAAAGCAUGAUGGGAAAAUGGUUUCAGUCGCUGAUUAUUUCACUAUCUUUAGACUCAUUCGCCCUUUAUCCCUCCUCAGCCUCAAGCUACAGGAUCUUUAAGAUCAAGAAGAAGACUUAAAUAUUUUAAAAUAAUUAAAAUCAAGUCAGAAAUCAAGUCAGGAAAUACUUUCCCAUCAUGCUUUUCUGUGAAUAGAUGUCUGAACCAAAACAGUGCUGAUGUCACAACUGCUUCAAGUGUGAUGAAAAUUGAUUCCCAUGACGACAGAAUGACAGCUGUAAUCAGUGUCCGAAUUCUGAGCUACAGUCCUAAUGGGUCAGUUUUAGAGUGUGCGUUCAAUAAACUAUCCCUGUCUGGCUGAGAUUGGUGUUCGUGUUGUUUGUGGAGUAACUCCUGGAUCCUCUCUCAUAAUCAAAAUGUUCCCUAAGGCAGAGUGUCUUAACAUGAGGACCAGGGAGAGAGAGUGUCCUGUCUUUUGCCAUGGUCACCUUAACUGUACUCUGCACAGAAGCUGAGACUGUUAGGCACUGGUCUACACACAUUUUGGAUGUAGAACAUCAUCUUCACUGGGAAAUGACAACCCCCUGCUUGCCAUUUUAAAGUGAAACCUGGGCAGAUAGCAAGGGCUUCAAAGAAGCCAGUGCCAGGCUGUGCCCUGGAAGCUCCCCAGAGAAAGAAAGACACCUUCUGUGCUUCGUGGUACCAUACACGCCUAGCAAGAUGUUUUUCAGAUCUACCUAUGAAUCAGAUGUGCCAAUGGAUACUGAGGACGGCUAUUGUGAAGUGAGCUAGCCAUGGCAGAUACCGCUUCCUUCCGGAAUGUGACUUUGGGUCCACCGCAAUUCUGCCUCGAGGAAGGCAUGUCUUUGUAAAUAAAGAUUUUGGUAUGAAAGCUGACAGUAUUUCCAGAUCCCUUACAACAAAUAUGAGAGGUGCAAUGAGGCUGAAAAUCUUAAUUGUUUUCUGACACACAUGGUAAGGAAAUACAUGGGAUCUAUUUUCUCUGAAAAUUAACAUUUUAUUUUUCUGGCCAAUUGGGAACUCCAUGAUCAAAUAAAAUCCUAAACGUUUUUAAGUGAACGAAAAACUUGAGGAAGGCCAUGCAAAAUAAUUCCAACUGUUUUUUUUCCAAAAUAUGGACAUUCUGAAUAGUGGCUGUGAUCAAGAAAAAGUGAGCCUGCAGCCAGCUGACUGAUACACUUGCAUAAGAAAUGAGAUGGGGAAUUUGGAUGAUCUGUCAGCAACCUGUAAAGAAAGCAUAUAUCUUUUUCCUGGGGUUAUAUCUGGCUACUUGAGUCUGCGGCCAGUCAGUGGAAUAUAGUUAGUUCCACCUGGCAUGUUUUCCCUUCAAGAACACAUUCCUUAUCUUAUGAAUACUUGGCUGCUCUUUUCAUUUUUGAUGUUUUAAAAAAUGGCAUUCCUUUCUUCUCUGGGUUUGGAUCUGGUUGGCUUCCAGAAAUGCGUUCUACCGACUGUGAAGAUGGGACAGGGCAGGCUGAGCGGUUGCUUUGUUCCAGCAGUGGGCUCUCAGGCUGUAGGCAUCAGCCGCAGUACCACAUGGGCCUUUCCCACAAACCCCUGAGGAUCGUGCAGCUUCCCUGGUGGUGGAGGACACCUGGUGGAGUUCUGCCUGCAAGAGCACACUUGGCAUCUGAUGAUAUCCAGCACAACACAGCCCCCAGAGAUGCUCGCCUCCCGCUCUGCUCUGGCCUUAUUUGCUACAGUAUUCCAUGACAAAGGCCCCGGUUUGUGCUUUGUAACUUGUGAUAUCAGAAUCUAAGUCUUUGAUUAUAAACGUUUGACUUUCCGUGUUUAUAAUUUAAAAGACAAAAACAAGCUUCAGGAAUCAUUGCAGCCCGUGGUGCAUUGGAUGCUAUGACUGUGGUUUUAAUGCCUUUAUUAAGGAGGAACAAGGCAGUCAUCUGUAAUCGUUUAACUGUAAGACCACUUUCUUCCAAACUCAAAGCAAUAUAAUUUUUCAUACAAAAUUUUCAAGCAACUUAAUGAAAGUGGGGGUUCAUCUCAUUGGUCAAGAUGAUGCUCAGAGUGCACAUUUCUCUUGCUCUCUUCAGGUCUACGGCUAGUCCACUAGCCAGGGACACCAACCACACUAUGGCUAUAUAAUAGCAUCAAGAAAAUCAGUGUGAAACCUACCUGAUCAUUGGUAAAGGCUUGAAACUUUCUGUUAUGUUUUUAUUAUUACGACAUCAUUAUUAUUGUUGUUGUUAUUAUUCAGGCUCUCUCUAUAUAGUCCAGGCUAGCCUUUAAGUUCAUUGUAAUUCCACGUUGUUCUAAGAUGACAGGAUGUUGCAGGAGCAUAGUCUCUGCUUCAGCCGUGGAGCCGUUAUUUCUCCAAGCUCCUGGCUCUUUCCUGCCAUGGGUGAGGAAGCUGCUGUUUUCUAGCCCUUCUCAGUAGGGAGUCACAAGCUUUACAGUGUUUAGAUUUUUUAAAUGAUUUAAGUGGCCUUCACAGAAGACCUCAAUACAAUAUUAACCACACAUACACAUAGUUCCAGCUGCCCUGAAACUCUCUGUUUAGACCAAGCUGGCCUUGUCAUGGCAGAAUUUUAAUUUUCAUUUUGAGGAUAAUAAUA